GGUGCGAGCGUUAAUCGGAAUACUGGGCGUAAAGCGUGCGCAGGCGGCUUUGCAAGACAGAGGUGAAAUCCCCGGGCUCAACCUGGGAACUGCCUUUGUGACUGCAAGGCUAGAGUACGGCAGAGGGGGAUGGAAUUCCGCGUGUAGCAGUGAAAUGCGUAGAUAUGCGGAGGAACACCGAUGGCGAAGGCAAUCCCCUGGGCCUGUACUGACGCUCAUGCACGAAAGCGUGGGGAGCAAACAGGAUUAGAUACCCUGGUAGUCAAGGGCG
rnacentral:rRNA from 1 species